ensembl:lncRNA
UUUUUUUUUUUUUUUUUUUUUUUUUUUGCCAUUUCUUGGGCCGCUUCCGCGGCAUAUGGAGGUUCCCAGGCUAGGGGUCGAAUCGGAGCUGUGGCCGCCGGCCUACGCCAGAGCCACAGCAACACGGGACCCGAGCCGCGUCUGCGACCUACACCACAGCUCACGGCAACGCCGGAUCCUUAACCCACGGAGCGAGGCCAGGGAUGGAACCUGCAACCUCAUGGUUCCUAGUCGGAUUCGUUAACCACUGAGCCACGACGGGAACUCCAUUUAAAAUUUUUAUUUAAAAAAUAUCUGUAGCCUACUAAUCUUCUAACCCAAAGCUUCUCUCACCAGUCUUGCCCCUGGUGUUGAGGAAAUUCAUAGGAAAAGAGACACGUGCGUUCUAGAAGGCAGAGUCCAUUCAAUGGCACUUGGCCAAGGCCAGUGGCGGUUAAUUAACCUGGGGCACUCAGGUCUGUCUGUAGAUCCCGUUACGUUUUGUUUGGUCUUUGUCUCGCAGCUGCCCUCUGCCAACGGGAAUUUUACGACCGACCCUCCUGGCUAAACGGUGCUGAUGGCUGCCGGGCAGCAUCCCGGUCUGGCUCUGCCACUUACCAAAUAUGGGACAAGAUCUGCUGACUUCUCCUGAGCCCUCCUCCUCCUCUCCUCAUUCUCCCAGGGACCAGGAACAUGAAGGUUCGGGAGCAAUUUUACUGUGGCUGGAAGCAUCAAGUGGACCCCACACCUAUCUCUCUCCUGAAUAGACACGAGGUUGGUCCUAGGUCUGUUCCUACUCAGGACAGAGACACACUGGAGUUUGAUCCAAGAAUCUUGCAGCGACACUCAAACUCUAGAAUUACAGAAACUCCAUAAAGAAAUCUGAGGGGUUUGGUUUUUUUUUUUAAUUGGAGGCUACCUAAGUGCUUAAAAAAUAAGAGAUCGGUUAAUAAAAUUAUGAUACAAUUAAAGCAUGCCAAGCUAUGAAUCAACUUAAAAUACUAUAGAAUAAAUAUUAGAUAUGGAAUGAUCUUCCAACAAUACCGGCAAGUGAAAAAAGCAGGGUACGGAGCAUAUGAUUCACAGAUGGAUAACAAGAGAAUGGAUGGGAUUUUCCCACGUGCCUUUAAAUUUUUAGCUCAAAUCCCACACCCCAAAUUCUCAGGCGCUUCCAGGCACACCCUAACAGAUUCCUUCCUGCGGGGGAGGGAAAUUACUGCAGGAGAGACGUCUACGGAAGGAGUGGAAGGAGUGUACCGUGGCCCUUGCCUCUGGUCCUAGUUGGCGGUCACUCCCCUCCCAAACCAAGAGGGGGGCAGCUCAAAGACAAGUGUUUAGGGACACUGGAGGGAGCCUCAAAACAGGGAGAUUGACAUCUGAGGCUGGGUAUAUGUCCAGCUGCAGAAACUCCCCAUAACUUGCCACAGGGGAGCGCUUUUGAAUGUUGAGGGCAGACGGGAACCCAGAGAUAGGAGCCAAGUUUACGGCUGAAGAAUUUGGACGUCAGAGGCUGGCUAAGGCUUCUGUGGCAGCUGGGUGAGGAGAGGGAGCAGAAAAGGGAGCUACCUCAUUGCCUGUGUUUGUUGGAACAAGGAUGCUAGAGUCCUGGCGGACCCAAGGGGUUGGCGGGAAAGCCAUAUUACAAGGAUGCUGAUCAAGGAGGCUCCGGCAGGGUGGAGAAAACGGGGGGCCUGAAGGGCAGGCGGGACCCCAGAGCCCAGAGCUGGGGGGUCAGCACAGAGGUCAGCCAGAGAGCUCCUGUGGUGUCAGGGGCUGGGAACCCCCACAAAGUUGUCCUCCUACAUAGUGGGCGCUAGGCAGGUGAGAGCCACAAAUGACACCAAGCAGGGGGAAAUUUCUAUUUUUCCCUCCUCGUUACCCUGACCCUGGAGGAGAAAGGGGAUAUCCAAUAAGAAGAAGGACAACAGAUCACAUGCCCUCCCUACCGGGCGGGGGCAUGGGGAGGGUGGUCCCUGGAUCCAUGGCUCCACAGGGAGGAGGGAGAAGCUGGGAAGCGGGCAUGAGAGUAACAGACGGUGGGCAAGGGAGGGGGACUCUUCUUAUUACAACCUGAGUGACUGAACAGCUGUGGGGUCCCUGAGCUCUCAUCCUGGAGGGGAAGGGCUAGGGGUUGAAUUGUGUUCCCCAAAAAGUCAAGUCAGAGUUUUAGCUCCCUGAACCUCAGAACGUGACCUUACUUAGAAACAGGGUUUUUGCAGAGGAUGAAGCUCAGAUGAGGUCACCGGGGUGGACCCUCAUCCACUAUGACUGUGCCCUCGUGGAAAGGGGACAUCUGGACACGGAGACACAGCGACAGGGAGAAGGUCUCGGGAAGAGGAAGGCAGAGGCCGGGGUGAUGCAGCAGAAACCAAGCGCUGCCGGCAAAGCUCCAGAGCUCGCAGCGGGGCCAGGGACAGGUCCUCCCGCCCGGCCACUGAAGGAGCAAAGCCUGCCGACACCCCGGUCUCAGACUUCCCGCCUCCCCAGCGGUGUGAGCUUCCGCCUCUGUUGGGUAAACCGCUCAGUGUGUGAUGCUGGGUGACGGCGGCCCCAGGAAGGCUGACCCAGCCGCGCGGAUCAGAACCUCUGCCCUGGGACCCGCUACUCCAUGUCCUGCUUCAUGGAAUGGGUUUUUAUUGACAUGUAAAGAAAAACUCCUAUAGAAAACACGCAAAAUGUUAACAACGUUACCUUUGCACGGUAGGAUUUGUUUUUACAUGUGCUAAUUUCUUAAACAAUAAACGUGCUCAUUGUUUCAUACUUAAAUAGUUCAGAAAAAUAUACAUAUAUCAUCUUACUGGGUUCUCUCUCCAUGACCUCCUAUCAAGAUCCUGCCCCUGGAGGAGAGGAAAUCCGGGAGAAGCUCGGAGGGGGUGGAGGAGGGGAGGGGCGGGGCUUAGCGGUGAGGGCCCCGCCCCGCCUCCUCGGACGGGAGCCCUGGGGGGGAUGCUGGCUCGGCGCGCGCGAGCUGGGUGGCUCGGAGCGCCUCUCUCACGCCCAUUUUCUUUCGUCUUUAACGGAGAAGGAAAAACGAGAUACUCUUAGGUUAAGAACGCAACUUCUGGGCCUUGACUCAGCUACGGGGGGUGGGGGGGCUACAUGUCGCUGGAAGUCACACGUGGCGGGGACGGUGGGGUGGGACCGGCUCCAGCUCUAGCGAGACGCACGCCUAGAAGGAGCCAGCGCUCGCUUACGAGUGGAGA